UCGGGAAUUUUGGGCAAUGGGCGAAAGCCUGACCCAGCAACGCCGCGUGAGGGAUGAAGUAUUUCGGUAUGUAAACCUCGAAAGAAUGGGAAGAAUAAAUGACGGUACCAUUUAUAAGCUCCGGCUAACUACGUGCCAGCAGCCGCGGUAAUACGUAGGGAGCAAGCGUUGUUCGGAUUUACUGGGCGUAAAGGGCGCGUAGGCGGCGCGGUAAGUCACUUGUGAAAUCUCUGAGCUUAACUCAGAACGGCCAAGUGAUACUGCUGUGCUAGAGUGCGGAAGAGGCAAACGGAAUUCUUGGUGUAGCGGUGAAAUGCGUAGAUAUCAAGAGGAACACCUGAGGCGAAGGCGGGUUGCUGGGCCGACACUGACGCUGAUGCGCGAAAGCCAGGGGAGCAAACG
rnacentral:rRNA from 1 species